rnacentral:lncRNA from 1 species
GAUCUGGCACUGGAUUCUGGCCUGAGGAACUCCAUGAAGCAGAUCAGAGGCUUUCUGGUCUUUCUUAUUUUCCUCUUUGAAUGUGAAGAUGCUUCUGCUGGAGCUUUCCUGGGCCUGAUCACUCCUGAAGACUCUAAAGUCUGUGAAUUGUGUUGCCGUGAGAUCUUCCAAUUGGAUUAAGUCAGUGAUGGAGUUUAAGAGUUGGGGAAGGCUUGGAGCAGGAGGCAAUGUCAUGAAUUGUGAAGCACUUUAGAUGGGAGCAGUCAAUGAUCUGUCCCCAAAGACAGGUGGUGUCUUCACCUACACAUCCUGUGUGCAGGCAUUGCAGAGCUCUGGACUCUGCAGCUGACAGAUUGUCUGGCCUGGAGGUGUCAAUCCCAGGGAUGUCUCCAUUUCCACUACUUAAAAAGAGUGAAGGAAGAAGACAGUGUCUGGUCACUCUGAUUCCAUCUUCACCAAAAGUUCCCAGGACUUCUUCAAACAUCAGUUCAACAGUCUCUAGGUCUUCAGCUCCCUGCCUUCAGUCCUGCCACUGGGACCUGUGUGAUUUCUCCCUAUGUGAAGAGGAGCCCCAUCUGGCCUUAUUUUGUGGUACUGUAUCUACUACUUUUGCAUUAUCUUAUGCCUCUUCCCUACCCUCUAUCAGUGGCUCACCAGGUAUAAACACACCUCAGACAAUUGAAUGCCAGAGUUGGAUGAGCAUUGUAGAUAUUAAGGGAAGCAAGCCAGAUGGAAAAGUCAAAUAUCUAACCACUGCAUUUCAUGUCACAAGCAGUUCUGAAAUACUGAUAGCAUGGAGGGAGGCACACUCAGGAAAUGAACUCUAA